rnacentral:lncRNA from 1 species
AGGUACAUUGUAAGAAGUGGGGUUUCGGGUUUCUACUGCUACACGAUAUGCGAGCGCUCUGAUAAUUGCCCUGCUUUCGAUCUUGCUCAAACAAGGAUGGUGUUUAAGCUGCAUCGAGAUAGGUGAAAUUACUCAAUAACCAUCAUUCGAAUUAUAGGUAAUAAAUUUGAUUUUUUUUUAAUAUAAAUAAUUCGAGCAGGUUUCAUUACAUGGCGAUCACAGACGAGAAACAAAGAGUAAUGCCUAUGCCAGACGAUUUAUUACCCGGUAGAGGGAAACAGCUAAUCGUACCUGAAUCCGUUUUGCUCGUAAAUCCUAUUAAUCCAGAUCUUAAAGGAGAGGUACUUUUUAUAUACAUACAUACAUACAUACAUACAUACAUACAUACAUACAUACAUACAUACAUACAUACAUACAUACAUACAUACAUACAUACAUACAUACAUACAUA